rnacentral:rRNA from 1 species
AACGAACGCUGGCGGCAUGCCUAACACAUGCAAGUCGAACGAUACCUUCGGGUCUUGUGGCGCACGGGUGCGUAACGCGUGGGAACCUGCCCUUAGGUUCGGAAUAACUCCCCGAAAGGGGUGCUAAUACCGGAUAAUGUCUUCGGACCAAAGAUUUAUCGCCUUUGGAUGGGCCCGCGUUGGAUUAGCUAGUUGGUAGGGUAAAAGCCUACCAAGGCGACGAUCCAUAGCUGGUCUGAGAGGAUGAUCAGCCACACUGGGACUGAGACACGGCCCAGACUCCUACGGGAGGCAGCAGUGGGGAAUAUUGGACAAUGGGCGAAAGCCUGAUCCAGCAAUGCCGCGUGAGUGAUGAAGGCCUUAGGGUUGUAAAGCUCUUUUACCCGGGAUGAUAAUGACAGUACCGGGAGAAUAAGCUCCGGCUAACUCCGUG